UUGGAUGCUGGCACAUGACUCACUUCCGGAGCGCGGAUUUUAGAACAGGAAAGGAGGUUUCCGCCCCGGGCGCCGGAAGUGAGGCAAGCGGGAGGAGCCGGCGGCUCCUCGGCGCCCGGGACCGGCCUGGCCGGGAGUAGAGGUUCGGCGGCCUGGGAGAUAGGGAAGACGCGGCCCAGCCGGCGGGCAGUGGGGUGUACGGGCGAGCUGGCAAGUGGGACGGGGGCGUCCACACAGGCCGGGGGCUAUGGCGGUGGGGAGUGCGUGGUCCGUGGACCUUGGACCACCGAGAUGUGGAAGCCCCAGUAAGGCACUUGGCGGCUCCGAGCCCCCGCUUCCUUUUCUGUAAAGUGGGAUGUGACUCAUCUCACACGAGUUAUUAAUAUCACCGUUUGCUAGUUACCCGACGCAGAAUCACCCCGCAGUCCCACGAGGUAGCGCUCUGUACACUGUACAAACGAGGAAGCGUGGCUCCGAGAGGCGAGUGGACUCCCAAGUGGUGCUUUUGCCAGAGGAGUGGGUUUCGUGGACCUUGAGCUCGAGGUUGGGGUUUGCAAUCUGCCCCUGCCACGUAACGAUGGCGAGGCGGAGGGCAGGUCGCUCCCGGCCUUGGUGUUUCCAUUAGGGAAGUGACACUAACGAUACCAUCUUCUAGAGCUGCAGUCACGGUUAAAUUCGAUCAGCGUUUCCCAAACUCUUAGUCUCAAGACCACCUUAUUCUCUUUAAAAAUGAGAGCCUCAAAAUGUUUGCUAGUGUGGGUUAUAUCUAUCAAUAUUCACCGUAUUAUAAAUGUGAAAUUUAGAAGAAUACUUUUCGUCUUAAAAAUAAACAUUCUUAAAAACCUGUAUCUCCCAAAAAUACAGAGAAGAGUGGGAAUUGUUUUACAUUUUUUUAAAUCUCCUUAAAGUUUUAAAGAUUCAUAGAACAUAGCUGGAUUCUCACAUCUGCUUCUGCAUGCACUGUUGCAAUAUACUGCUUUGAAGUAUAUGAGGAAAAUCCAGCCUCAGAUACAUGGUCCGACAAGGAAAGAGCUACAAACCAACCUCCGAACAGCUUAGAGCACCAGCAGACACCUGGCAAGGCCUUGGAAACUGAUGAAAUGAAGCCGAUGCACUGGUGGACCAUGCCCACCCCAUCCCCAACUUGGUACACCACUGGCUACAGGGAAAGAGAGAGGUGCUUUGAAAGAAUUAUGGGGGAGUAACAACGUGGAGAAGAGUGGACCCAUCUGCAGUGGUUGGAGGAAAAGAAGAAAA